rnacentral:rRNA from 1 species
GCGCAGCCUGACGGAGCACGCCGCGUGAGUGAUGAAGGUUUUCGGAUCGUAAAGCUCUGUUGCCAAGGAAGAACGCCUCGGAGAGUAACUGCUCUGAGGGUGACGGUACUUGAGAAGAAAGCCCCGGCUAACUACGUGCCAGCAGCCGCGGUAAUACGUAGGGGGCAAGCGUUGUCCGGAAUUAUUGGGCGUAAAGCGCGCGCAGGCGGUCUUUUAAGUUUGGUGUUUAAGCCCGGGGCUCAACCCCGGUUCGCACUGAAAACUGGGAGACUUGAGUGCAGGAGAGGAAAGCGGAAUUCCACGUGUAGCGGUGAAAUGCGUAGAGAUGUGGAGGAACACCAGUGGCGAAGGCGGCUUUCUGGACUGUAACUGACGCUGAGGCGCGAAAGCGUGGGGAGCAAACAGGAUUAGAUACCCUGGUAGUCCACGCCGUAAACGAUGAGUGCUAGGUGUUAGGGGUUUCGAUACCCUUGGUGCCGAAGUAAACACAAUAAGCACUCCGCCUGGGGAGUACGCUCGCAAGAGUGAAACUCACAGGAAUUGACGG